CAUGCAUAGUAACAAUAAGUAGAAAGUUGGAACAAGAUAAUGAGAUUAUGAUGCAUAUAUACUAUAAUGUUUACGGUAGAAUUAGAAAAGAGCAAAUAUAAACCAAUGAUUUGAUAUUAUCUACAUAGAUACUGAAAAUGACAUGUAUGGUCAGGCUUGCAAAUAAAUGUCCCGUCACUAAAAUAAAAGAGCUGAAGAGUCCAUAUCGUACUUUAUUUCAAGCAUUAAGGGGAAUCUUAUCUCCUAAUUUCUCUUAUAAAUGAAUUUUUGGUUCCAUUGAUGAAUAGCAAGCAAUAAGCAUUGAAGAAGAUCGAUUUUGAGUAGAAGAAAUUCCAGUCUUUUUGGCCAAAUAAAAAUAAAUAAAUUAGUUCCCCUUCGCCACGGCAAAGUUAAUUAGCUUUUAUAAGACAAGUGAUGACAAAUUUUCUUCUUGAACUUUCUUCAACAUUAGUAUUAUUUUUUAUUAUUGAAUGAUCUAUUUUCUUAUACUCUUACAUUUAUUAUUGAUUCAGUUGGUUCUAUUUAGACGAUUAUGGUGAGUUAUUUCAGAAGGAGAAAUUUUGAUAAUUUUCUUGUUGAAUUCCACGAUUAUGACACAUAUGUAGAUUGUUGACAAAUUUUAUCAUAAAAGAUACCUAUAACUCUGUGAGUCUGUUUGAUUGCAAGAAUAGAAUUUUUGUGCAAUCAAACAGGGCUUAAUUGUUGCUUAUUAGAAAAGCAAAAUAAUGCGCACAUUUUAUAUUCAUAAUUGUUUGGAUGGAAAGAAGAUUAAUAGCAAGUUUGGCUGCGCAUAUAAGCUCAAAUCAUAUCCAAACGUGCGGCUUAAAUCAUAUGAUGACUUCUUUUUCAGCACAAAUGAAAAUAAGCAAUAAGCUUGACCAUCCAACUUAUUCAAAAUUGUUUUACCAAGUGUGUCAUUACACUUCAUUAUCUUAAUUCAGUUAAUAUCCACCUAUUUUAGUGCGAUUACAUUAAUUAUGAUAAAAACUCAAAUUUGUAUGCAAUUGGCACGAAAGGGUAAAUUUUAGCUAAUUUGGGGUUGGUUCCAAGCAAUUAAAGAUAAUCGAAUAGCACAAAGUGAUUACAAGUAAGAGAAAGAGCUAUCAAAAGAAUAUCGCAAGUUGGGGGAGAAAUUCAACUUUUGAAAAGUUUGGGGAAUUGCACACUUUGGAACUUGAGGCGGACUAAUUUCGAAUGAUUAUUAAUUUUCAGUCCCAAUUUGGAAAAUUUUGAAAGUUUCCUCUCACAAUAAAGCUUAAGAUUAAAAAGAUCAAAA
rnacentral:lncRNA from 1 species